GACGAACGCUGGCGGCGUGCUUAACACAUGCAAGUCGAGUGGAGCUGCCAACGUGUGAGUCACGCGUGAGUAACUGCCCCCUUCUCUUUGAUAACAGUUGGAAACGGUUCCUAAUACCGGAUAGUGGGCGAUGACUCGCGUCCUAUCAGCUUGUUGGUGGGGUAGUGGCCUACCAAGGCGACGCAGGGUAGCCGGCCUGAGAGGGCGACCGGCCACAGCGGCCUCAGGUACGGCACGAAGUCCUUCGGGGUGCAGGUGGGGGGGAUAUUGCACCAGGGAGGAAGAAGUGAAGGAGCGACGCGCGUGAGGGAAGAAGGUCUUCCGGUAGUAAGCCGUUAACAGCAAUGACGAGGUAGAGGAAGAAGAAGCACCGGCUAACUACGUGCCAGCAACCGCGGUAAUAC
rnacentral:rRNA from 1 species